GACAGAGGCCCCAAGCGUUAGGCGGAAUCACUGGGCUUAAAGCGUGUGUAGGCGGAUCGUUAAGUGUCUUGUGAAAUCCCACGGCUCACCCGUGGAACUGCUGGGCAUACUGGCGAUCUUGGGCCAACUAGGGGCAGCCGGAGCAAGCGGUGGAGCGGUGAAAUGCGUAGAUAUCGCUUGGAACGCCGAAGGUGAAAACAGGCUGCUGGGGUUGCGCCGACGCUGAGACACGAAAGCCAGGGGAGCAAACGGG
rnacentral:rRNA from 1 species